UUAAGCUACUAAGGGCUGACGGCGGAUGCCUUGGCACUAGGAGGCGAUGAAGGACGCGGCAAGCUGCGAUAAGCUUCGGGGAGCUGCUAACAGGCUUUGAUCCGGAGAUUUCCGAAUGGGGCAACCCGGCAGGAGUCAUAUCCUGUCAUUCGUUACUGAAUACAUAGGUAACGAAGGCGAACGAGGGGAAGUGAAACAUCUCAGUACCCUCAGGAAAAGAAAUCAAUUGAGAUUCCGCAAGUAGUGGCGAGCGAACGCGGAAUAGCCCAAACCCAUAGGCUUGCUUAUGGGGGUUGUGGGGCCCCGAUAUGGGAUUGAGGAGAGAUAGCGGAGUGGCAUGGAAAGGCCAAUCAAAGACGGUGAUAAUCCGGUACGCGAAAUCUCGAAUCACCCUAGGGUGUCCCCGAGUACCACGAGGCACGUGAAACCUUGUGGGAAUCUGGGAGGACCAUCUUCCAAGGCUAAAUACUACCUAGUGACCGAUAGUGAACCAGUACCGUGAGGGAAAGGUGAAAAGAACCCCGGAAGGGGAGUGAAAUAGAAACUGAAACCGUCAGCUUACAAGCAGUUGGAGCACCCAAGUGGUGUGACAGCGUGCCUUUUGCAUAAUGAGUCAACGACUUACCCUACGUAGCAAGGUUAAGCCGAUAGGUGUAGCCGCAGCGAAAGCGAGUCUUAACAGGGCGUCGAGUUACGUGGGGUAGACCCGAAGCCGGGUGAUCUAUCCAUGUCCAGGGUGAAGUCUCGGUAACACGAGAUGGAGGCCCGAACCAUUGUUGGUUGAAAACAGCUUGGAUGAGGUGUGGAUAGGAGUGAAAGGCUAAUCAAACUCGGUGAUAGCUGGUUUUCUCCGAAAUAUAUUUAGGUAUAGCCUCGCGAGUUGACUGAUGGAGGUAGAGCACUGUUUGGGCUAGGGGUCCCACCGGAUUACCAACCCCAUACAAACUCCGAAUGCCAUCAAGUUUUAUCGCGGGAGUCAGACUGUGGGAGAUAAGUUCCAUGGUCGAGAGGGUAAGAGCCCAGACCGUCAGCUAAGGUCCCUAAACUGCACUAAGUGGAAAAGGAGGUGAAAUUGCUUAGACAACCAGGAGGUUGGCUUAGAAGCAGCAAUCCUUUAAAGAUAGCGUAAUAGCUCACUGGUCUAGUGAAUUUGCGCCGAAAAUGUAACGGGGCUAAAGUGCAGUACCGAAGCUACGGAUCGAGCAAUCGAUGGUAGGAGAACAUUGUGUAGGCCUGAGAAGGUGCAUCGUGAGGUGUGCUGGAGGUAUCACAAGAGCUUAUGUUGACACGAGUAGCGAAAAUGGAGGUGAAAAACCUCCACGCCGAAAGUCUAAGGUUUCCUAGAGUCAAGUUAAUCUGCUCAGGGUUAGUCGGUCCCUAAGGCGAGGCUGAAAAGCGUAGUCGAUGGGAAACGGGUUAAUAUUCCUGUACCGAUUUUAGAUGCGAUGUGGGGACGGAGAAGGUUAGGUCAGCCAUCUGUUGGAAUAGGUGGUUCAAGCGUGUAGGCGUGCCCCUUAGGCAAAUCCGGGGGGCUAAGCUGAGGCGUUAUAACGAGGUGCUACGGCACUGAAGUGAUUGAUACCAAGCUUCCAGGAAAAGCCACUAAGCUUCAGUCUAGAAUUGACCGUACCGCAAACCGACACAGGUGGGCAGGAUGAAAAUUCUAAGGCGCUUGAGAGAACUCAGGAGAAGGAACUCGGCAAAUUGACACCGUAACUUCGGGAGAAGGUGUGCCCCGGUAGGGUAUAAGGCCUUGCGCCGAAAGCCCGAUGGGGUUGCAGUGAAAUGGUGGCUGCGACUGUUUAAUAAAAACACAGCACUCUGCAAACACGAAAGUGGACGUAUAGGGUGUGACGCCUGCCCGGUGCCGGAAGGUUAAGUGAUGGGGUGCAAGCUCUUGAUCGAAGCCCCGGUAAACGGCGGCCGUAACUAUAACGGUCCUAAGGUAGCGAAAUUCCUUGUCGGGUAAGUUCCGACCUGCACGAAUGGCGUAACGAUGGCCACACUGUCUCCUCCUGAGACUCAGCGAAGUUGAAAUGUUUGUGAAGAUGCAAUCUCCCCGCGGCAAGACGGAAAGACCCCAUGAACCUUUACUGUAGCUUUGCAUUGGACUUUGAACCGGUCUGUGUAGGAUAGGUGGGAGGCUGUGAAACCGGGACGCUAGUUUCGGUGGAGCCAACCUUGAAAUACCACCCUGGUUUGUUUGAGGUUCUAACCUUGAUCCGUGAAUCCGGAUCGGGGACCGUGCAUGGUGGGCAGUUUGACUGGGGCGGUCUCCUCCCAAAAGGUAACGGAGGAGUACGAAGGUACGCUUAGGGCGGUCGGACAUCGCCCAUAAAGUGCAAUGGCAAAAGCGUGCUUGACUGCGAGACCCACAAGUCGAGCAGGUGCGAAAGCAGGUCAUAGUGAUCCGGUGGUUCUGUAUGGAAGGGCCAUCGCUCAACGGAUAAAAGGUACUCUGGGGAUAACAGGCUGAUACCGCCCAAGAGUUCAUAUCGACGGCGGUGUUUGGCACCUCGAUGUCGGCUCAUCACAUCCUGGGGCUGUAGCCGGUCCCAAGGGUAUGGCUGUUCGCCAUUUAAAGUGGUACGUGAGCUGGGUUUAAAACGUCGUGAGACAGUUUGGUCCCUAUCUGCCGUGGGCGCUGGAUAUUUGAAGGGGGCUGCUCCUAGUACGAGAGGACCGGAGUGGACGAACCUCUGGUGUACCGGUUAUGACGCCAGUCGUAUCGCCGGGUAGCUAUGUUCGGAAGAGAUAAACGCUGAAAGCAUCUAAGCGUGAAACUCGCCUUAAGAUAAGAUAUCCCGGAGUCUUGAACUCCUUGAAGGGUCGUCGAAGACCACGACGUUGAUAGGUCAGGUGUGGAAGCGCAGCAAUGCGUUAAGCUAACUGAUACUAAUUGCCCGUAAGGCUUGAUCCU
rnacentral:rRNA from 1 species